CAAACUGACGUGUGAGGCGUGGGAGCCAGGCCGGGCUCUAGCUUAGUCCCUUCCCUGUUGCUUUGCCAACCGCGAGGCUGCGCUAGUUAAGAACUGGGGACUCAGGGGUCUCGACAUUUACGAAAGGGAUUGGCUCCUGGACUCUGGGGCCUCGAACCCGUUGGGGAGAUUGACGGGCAAGAGCCCCUGCCGCCGAGUGGCCAGCAGUCGGCCGGGUUGGCCGGAGCUGGCGUCGGGCUGGGCCGUCGGAGGUCGGCUGGUCCAAGCUUGCAGUUGGCCCUGGCUGUCCGAAUGGCAUGUCCCAAAGAGGUGAUGCCCCUUCACCUGGGUCCCAGAAUAAUGGAACAAAGUUGAAGAUGACUGCAAUUGACAAAUAACAUGAAGAGAAAGAAACCUUCCUGAAUUGUGGAAAACUGGGCUGAGCUUAUUGAAACAGAGGAUCCUACAAGCCCACACAGGAUCAAGAAUGCCGUCACCUUCCAUCUCUCUGCCUAGUCUCCAGCAAUUUCAGUGAACGAAGAAAACGUACAGAUGAGAUCUGAACAGCAGCCCAUUUAGUCAGCUCCGUGGCCAGUCCCGAGACGGGUUCUCUGACAUAUUCUUCCUCUUCCAAGAUAUUACUUACAAACACGAAAGGUAAUGACAGGAUUUGUUCAUAGAACACAUUAUGUUCUUAAUGAAAAAUAAAGGCUGUCAACUGAAUCCACUUUUAAUUAAUAUUUUUAAAAGGCAUGAGUGCCAGGGACUUUGGGUGCUGGUUUUUAUC